ensembl:lncRNA
GGACAGAAGCGGGAAGACAGAGGCGUGAGUCGGGGGCUGUGGACCACAGGGCAGAGAGCGAAGCCACGUGGCUGCAGAUUCUCCCCUGGAUGCGCAAGGGGAGUGUGACCUUCCUGGACUUCUGAUUUCUGGCCUCCAGAAUGGUGACGUCCCGGGUGAGAAGGACACAGCGUCAUAACCACCCCACUGACAGAACUCCCAGUCAUGCAGACUCAUCAGUGUUUCGUGCCCACCGGCCCUCUUCUCCAGGGAUGCAUCUGUGGGUGGUAGACUCUGGUGGUUUCUGCAUGUUCUAAGAUCCUGGAGCCCAGGACGCGAGCCAGUGCCAUGAGACUCACAGUAGCCGUGUACAUGAGGGACGUCCACCCCAGACGACGGUCACCGUAAGGAUGCUUAGGUGUUAAAGGCCUCACGGAAACAUGAAGAAGGUCAGGGUCCCCUUCCCUUGAAUUCUCUGUGUGGCUCGAUGGCCAGCAGAGGGCCCAGGACUGGGUUCGGGUCUCUGCCACCCCCUGUAAGUGGGCGGGGCUGGGCUGCAGGAAGAAGAGCUAGACCUGGCUGUCCCGCCGCGUGGAGCCCCUCCACCCCCAGGGGGGUUUGUCUUUCCAUGUCUUCACCCUGGGACUAGUCCCCUCCACUGAGUGGCCGCUGUGGGUCCAGAGUCCAAAUUUGCCAGGUCUCCAGCACAAAGGAGCAGGCUGGUCCAGCCCUGGUCGAGGGAACGUGGCAGGCCUGACCUCCUACCACCUGGACCCCUCACUGGUACCUCCUCUCUGACGCUCGUCUCCUCGCACUCCUGGUGGUGAAGCCUGUGGGUGGAACCUGCACUUCCAUCGCUUCUGCCCUGCUUGAAGACGCCAGCAAAUACAACGUGGACAUCAAAGCAAAGAGCUGCCUGAGCUUUUGAGAUCCAUACAAACUGAUUGUCUUCCCCCGAAGCAGGCUGUCAUUUUCCCUUACUUAAAGAGGGGUGACUUAUGGAAUAUAAAUUGGAAG